GACGAACGCUGGCGGCGUGCUUAACACAUGCAAGUCGAACGGAAAGGCCCUGCUUUUGUGGGGUGCUCGAGUGGCGAACGGGUGAGUAACACGUGAGUAACCUGCCCUUGACUUUGGGAUAACUUCAGGAAACGGGGGCUAAUAUCGGAUAGGAGCCCCUGUUGCAUGGUGGGGGUUGGAAAGUUUCGGCGGUUGGGGAUGGACUCGCGGCUUAUCAGCUUGUUGGUGGGGUAGUGGCUUACCAAGGCAUUGACGGGUAGCCGGCCUGAGAGGGUGGCCGGCCACAUUGGGACUGAGAUACGGCCCAGACGCCUACGGGAGGCAGCAGUGGGGAAUAUUGCACAAUGGGCGGAAGCCUGAUGCAGCAACGCCGCGGGCGGGAUGACGGCCUUCGGGUUGUAAACCGCUUUCGCCUGUGACGAAGCGUGAGUGACGGUAAUGGGUAAAGAAGCACCGGCUAACUACGUG
rnacentral:rRNA from 1 species